UACGAAGGGUGCAAGCGUUACUCGGAAUUACUGGGCGUAAAGCGUGCGCAGGCGGUUAUGUAAGACAGAUGUGAAAUGCCCGGGCUUAACCUGGGAACUGCAUUUGUGACUGCAUGGCUAGAGUGCGGCAGAGGGGGAUGGAAUUCCGCGUGUAGCAGUGAAAUGCGUAGAUAUGCGGAGGAACACCGAUGGCGAAGGCAAUCCCCUGGGCCUGCACUGACGCUCAUGCACGAAAGCGUGGGGAGCAAACAGG
rnacentral:rRNA from 1 species